UCAGCUCACACUCAUCUCAGUCAGCCAUGUGGAACUUCUGACCAGGCCAGAAUCACAUGUUCAGUUCUGACUUUUACACUGUUUUAACAGGAUUUACAGGGAACUGGGGGCUCCAGGGGUCUGCGGCUGCACCUUUAAUACUGAGGAGGGGCAGCAGGAUGACAGGGACACUGUAUAAGGAUCAUGUUCAUUAGUGGAUCUGGUACAGAUGGACAGCUUUCCAACCAUUAAGGUACUAAAGCCCACUGCAGGUAUGAUUUAUGCUGAUCAUUUAUUUUUAUUUUUAUUAAUGGUCAUCUUAACUUAUUUUUAUAGUACUUAGAUUAUUAUUUUUGUACUACUUCACUACACUACACAUAUUCAGAAAGUAGAAAAGGGCAGUGAAAGAGAAUAUAAAAUGUUAUGGUAUUAAUUGUAAUAUUUUCCCAAUUAAUUGUGAGCCCAAGUUUUCAAAAAUGGGGGUUAACCCCUGUAAUUGCAGCCUUUAUCCAAGAAGGGAGUAAUAUUAGCAUUUUAAACUUACACACUACAAAGGGCUUGAACACUUACAAACUUGGUUCACAAUCCUUAUUGGUCCAAUAUCAAAGGAUUUCUUUUAACCAAUUAUACUACAUAAACAGCCCUAUACUGUCUAUUAAACUAUAUAUUUAUUAUAGAAAGCUUGACAGCUUUCUAAACUGAUGGAUAUCUAGCUACAUAGCUUGAUUCAUCCAUUAUAUUCCCUGUGUAAAAACAGUAGGCAUUUGAACAAAAACCAGACCAAUCAAGUACAACUCACAAAAUAAAAGUCAGGUUUAUUGUUGAACAACAAACUUCACACACACAAACAGGCCAAGGUAAAACAUAUGCAGACAAAAUAAAUCAGAAAGAAAAGUAACUCCUUUUCUUUGGCCUAGCCCUCCCAUACAAAACAAAACAAAAAAAGAACAAAAAAAAAACAAAAAAACUAGUUUAUGGUACAACUAGUUAUGGUACAACUAAAGUUCAUACAUAAAACUUUUACUGGAAUGCUCUGAGUUAAAUGGCUGAUUUGUUUCUUUUUUAUACACGUUUCCUUUUUUUAUCCGUUUCAGUUGAAGAUCCGAGACAUGGUCAGACAAGUAAAA